ACCAAUCAAAUUUGUCAUCAACUGAAUUUUCUGCCAUAUCCAGUGGAAAUAUUUGUCUUUCAUCAGUAGCAGCAGUUCUGUUAUCCUGCAGUGACAGCAAUCAUAUUGAUCAAUCAUCAGUAUUCAUGUCUGUACCCAGACAGCACACGUACGUCUGGCCGACGUCGGCCCAAUAUCGAAACGUCGGCCUCACUACCUGAAACAUCUAAUAAACAUCGGCCAGGCGUAGGCCGAUAUAAUUCGGUCAGUGCUCUGUUUUCCAGCUCAUCAGUCGUCGGCCCUGAGUCGGUUCACGACCGCAGGCCGAUGCCGCGCUUUUCUGUUUGCGGCGAGCCCAGUUAUUCGUCUCUUAGCAACCCACAGAGAGAAGACACUCCUCCCGGAGACAUCUGUGCUUUCAGGCUGCCAGAAAGAAUCCGUCUCUAUACGGUGAGCUAUUGUUGCUGUUGCUUUUUGAACUACAAAUUGAGUUUUAAGUUCAUUAUUGAAUAUUAAUUGAACGAGACUGUAAUUUAUUAAUGUAAUAUUUUAAUCCUAUAUGUUUAUUUGUGUAAAUGCUGUGUGCGCGUUGAGCUCUGCGCGAGCGGGGAGCAGAGUUGCCAUGGAAACGGGGCGUUGACACAACUACUGGCGAACAGUAAUCUCCGUCUCUCGCUGCGGUUUCCACUGAUUUCAGGAGGACAGAAAGAAACUCUACAUAACAGAAGG